AACGAACGCUGGCGGCAUGCCUAACACAUGCAAGUCGAACGACAUCCUUCUGGGUCUUUUGGCUCACGGGUGCGUAACGCGUGGGAAUCUGCCCUUACGUUCGGAAUAACAGUUAGAAAUGACUGCUCAUACCGGAUGAUGACGUUAUGUCCCAAGCUAUAUCGCCUGAGGAUGAGCCCGCGUAGGAUUAGCUCGUUGUUGUGUUAAAGGCGCACCAAUGCGACGAUACUUAGCUGGUCUGCGAGGAUGAUCAGCCACACUUGGACUGAGACACGGCCCAGACUAUUACGGGAGGGAGCAGUGGGGAAUAUUGGAAAAUGGGGGGAAGGAUGAACCAGCAAUGCCGGGUGAGUGAUGAAGGCGUGAGGGUAGUAAAGCUGGUUAACACGAGAUGAUAAUGACAGUAUCGGGAGAAUAAGCCCCGGCUAACUCCGUG
rnacentral:rRNA from 1 species